UACCCGUCUUGAUACACGGACCAAGGAGUUUUACAUGCGCGCGAGUCGUUGGGUCGGACACGCUCCGCUAAACCCAUAGGCGCAAUGAAAGUGAAGGUUUCCCUUCGCGGGACCGAGGGAGGACGGAGUCGCGAGAGCGGCUCCCGCACUCCCGGGGCGUCUGAUUCCUCUUUUUGAGGGAAGGCGCACCCAGAGCGCACACGUUGGGACCCGAAAGAUGGUGAACUAU
rnacentral:rRNA from 1 species